UACGUAGGGGGCAAGCGUUAUCCGGAAUCAUUGGGCGUAAAGCGCGUGUAGGCGGUUCAGUAAGUCCGCUCUGAAAGCCCAGGGCUCAACCCUGGGAGGCGGGUGGAUACUACUGGACUAGAGUACGGAAGAGGAGAUUGGAAUUCCUGGUGUAGCGGUGAAGUGCGCAGAUAUCAGGAGGAACACCAACAGCGAAGGCAGAUCUCUGGGACGUAACUGACGCUGAGACGCGAAAGCGUGGGGAGCAAACAGG
rnacentral:rRNA from 1 species